rnacentral:rRNA from 1 species
AUGAACCCUGCCUCGGCCCCUGGUCCUGAUGGCCUCCCGGUUAAGUUCUUCCAAUCCUUCUGGAAUGUGAUCAAGCCGGAGGUCAUGGCAAUAUUCAACGAGUUCUACGUUAGGUCCAUCGAUCUCGGGCGCCUUAAUUAUGGGACGAUCUCGCUUAUCCCCAAGGUUCCUAGAGCGUCUGACAUCCGUCAGUUCCGCCCAAUCACGGUGAUAAAUGUGAUCUUACGGAUUCUGGCAAAAGGGUACGCCAAUAGGGUGACCCUGCUUGCAGACUAUAUUACCCACCCCAACCAAUCGACCUUCAUCCAAGGUCGCUAUAUUCUGGAUGGGGUGCUUGUUCUUCACGAAGUCCUCCACGAGGUCCGCUCCAAACACCUCAAGGCGGUUUUCAUGAAGAUCAAUUUCCAUAAGGCCUAUGACACUGUUAGUUGGCCCUUCCUUCAGGAAGUUCUUCUCCAGAAAGGUUUCGAUGACCGUUGGGUUACUAGGGUUAUGUAG